GCAUUAAUUGGGUAGUGGUAACCUGGGUCGUUGCCACAUUCGCACCGUAUCGACCCGCCGGGGGUUCGAUUUCCCCUUAAUGCA